rnacentral:rRNA from 1 species
UACGAGGGGGGCAAGCGUUGUUCGGAAUCACUGGGCGUAAAGCGCACGUAGGCGGCCCGGUAAGUCAAAGGUGAAAUCCCUCGGCUCAACUGAGGAACUGCCUUUGAAACUGUCGGGCUUGAGGCCGGGAGAGGGUAGUGGAAUUCCCAGUGUAGCGGUGAAAUGCGUAGAUAUUGGGAGGAACACCAGUGGCGAAGGCGGCUACCUGGACCGGUACUGACGCUGAGGCGCGAAAGCGUGGGUAGCAAACAGG